GACGAACGCUGGCGGCGUGCUUAACACAUGCAAGUCGAACGGAAAGGCCUCAGCUUGCUGGGGUACUCGAGUGGCGAACGGGUGAGUAACACGUGGGUGAUCUGCCUUGCACUCUGGGAUAAGCUUGGGAAACUGGGUCUAAUACCAGAUAUGAACUGCCUUUAGUGUGGUGGUUGGAAAGUUUUUUCGGUGCAAGAUGAGCUCGCGGCCUAUCAGCUUGUUGGUGGGGUAAUGGCCUACCAAGGCGUCGACGGGUAGCCGGCCUGAGAGGGUGUACGGCCACAUUGGGACUGAGAUACGGCCCAGACUCCUACGGGAGGCAGCAGUGGGGAAUAUUGCACAAUGGGCGGAAGCCUGAUGCAGCGACGCCGCGUGGGGGAUGACGGCCUUCGGGUUGUAAACUCCUUUCGACAGGGACGAAGCUUUUUGUGACGGUACCUGUAUAAGAAGCACCGGCUAACUACGUG
rnacentral:rRNA from 1 species